CUGUUGACGCAACAUAAAAAAGCAGGGAAGCAGCGCUGCUCGACGGUAGACUGCAUGCAGUGAAUGCCGUGAGGAAGAUAUCCAUAGAUUAUGGCUUCAGCUUGUUUUGAGGCUGUGCAUCCUCACGAUCCCUGGCCCAUCUCAUCACUAACUGAAGAAAUCAGUGUCCACUGCGGCAAGAUGUGCACAAGCCUCAUUCCUGUUACAGGAACAGCUUCAAAGUUCAAGAUUCAAAUUUCAAGAUCCACCUUCACUCUCAUAUGCGUUGCAUGUUUGAUACCAACCUUCUUUUACCUUUACCUUUUUUAUCUUUUUGAAUUAAACUGCCUUCUACCUUC